CUCUUAUUCAGAGUGGUGGAGGUACAUAGGACCUAUGAAACCACGGCAACCCCUUGAGUGAUCAGGAAGGUGCCAACCUGAGCGUGCAGUUCCCGAAUGGGAAUAUGAG
rnacentral:ncRNA from 2 species